rnacentral:lncRNA from 10 species
UUUGUAUCUCACUCCCGCCACAGCUUGGGAUCGGUCUCUGCUGUUUUACGUCCUCCACCUCGGGAGCCCCCGGUGACUGUCACAGCCUCUUGCCCUGUGAUCUGCAGGUUCUGGGAGACGCACAGCUAAGAUGCCAGGACAUCCUGGAAGCUGGGAAAAGGUUCUGACAACAAAGGAGAUUGUGACAUAUUGCUGGGCCUAACACUAAGGUGAUGUUAGUUAUUUGCUUUGGCUGUGCCCUUGGAAGGCAUUGAGACAUACUGCUGUGCCCAGCACCAAGAUGAUGUAACGUGACUCUUCUGCUUCAGGCCUGCCAAAAGAAAAGAUUGUGACAGAUCACUGGACCCAGCACCUAGGAGGGAUUGUAACAUCCCUGGUCAAGCCCCCAGUGAUGUGAUUCUCCUGUUUGAUGCCUGCCCUCAGGGAGGAUUGUGACAUAGCCCUGGCCCAACACACAGUUCAUGUAACUCUUGAAUUUGCUCUUUACAUACAGGUAGGAUUGUGACAUAUAUCUGGCCAAGCGUACAGAUGUAAUGAUGACUGUCAUACCUUGAAGAAGCCAAUAGCAGAGAGAAUGUUGCUCUCAGGCUUAGGAAAAUGAGGAAGUCUUUCUGUACAAAAGUCAUAAAGAAUUACUACUCUCUCACAUAUAUUACGCCCUAGUGUGUUACAGAGAAUGUCAUAACAGGGCCCAGCACACAAGUGAGAUUGUGUUUGUCCUAUGCACACUACACCAACCUUUACAGUUGUCACCCUGACCCAUUGACAGAGUCUGCUAGUGAGGUUCUGAAUUACAUGUGAACACAGUCCGCAGUUGGAAUUGUGACUGUCAUAUGUGAACAUCUGGCUACAGUUGGGAUGGUGACUCAUUUCUAAAUCCAGCUCAUAGGAAGGUGAAGACUCUCCUAUCUGGACUCAGUUGGUGAGAGAGAUGUUGACUCUCAUAUCUGGGCUUAGAACCACAGGAAAGAUUCUGGAGCUCCUUGUGCAAAGGUCAUAGAGGAUUAUCAAUCUUGCAUAUUGUAUAAAGUCCUCAGGUGACACAGAGUGUCUCUCGAAUGCACACCCAGGCAACAGUAAAGAUUGUCAUUCUCCCACAUAAACACAUCCCACUGUUGAAGUUCUGAAUUUCACAGAGGCUGUCAAAAGUUGGAUAAUUGCCUCUCAUGUGUGGAUCUGGUCCACAGGUGGGUUAGUGACUUCCAGACCAAGGUUCAGCGCACAUGUAAGGCUGUGACUACACUAAGAAGAUACAGUCUGCAGAAGAAACUGUGGCUCUUUUGCACACAUUCUGUCAAUCAUUGUGAUUGCGACUCAUGUACUUAGACCCAACAUACAGGAGGUGUUGACUUUCAUACCUUUAGAACCUGGACAUGUUUGGAAUUUCUAAUCUAAUCCCUGGACUUUCCUGCAGGUGUGAUUGUGUGCAUUGCAAAGCACCUUAGUGAUUUGACUCUCCUGCCUUGGCCAAGCACACAAAUGAGAUUGUGACAUAUGGCUUGACUCUGAACCUCCAAGAUGUGACUCUUUUUUCCAGCCUUGGAGCUGCCCACAUGUUGCAUUGUGACAUAUUCCUAAGCCCUGCACUCAGGUUAUGUGACUCUCCUUUUUUGCUUAGGCCCUGAAUAUUUUUCAUGUUAAGACAUAUUACUAGGUCCAACACCUAUAAAAUGGGAGACUACCACCUGGGCUCUUUCUACAGAGGGCCUUGUGACAUACCUCUGCAUCAAUAACCUAGGAGAUGUGAUGCUCCAUUUUUGCCUGUACGUGCCCCACAGAAAAAAUUGUGGCUGGCCCAGGUACCAGGUGAUGUGUCUCUGCUGCCUGGGCCUGGACCACAGAGAGCAUUGUUACUGAUUGCUGGGCUCAGCACCCAGGUGAUGUGACUCUGCUGCCUGUGUGCUGCUUUCAGGAGAAGGUUGUAACUUAUUCCUGGCUGAGUAUGCAGUCACACUCCUGACUGAUCUCUGCCCUCAGAAAAGGUUGUGUCAAGCCGGGCCCGGUGGCUCAUGCCAGUAAUCCCCAGCACUUAGGGAGACCGAGGUGGGUGGAUCGCCUGAGGAGUUUGAGACCAGAUGGCCAACAUGGUGAAACCCCGUCUCUACUAAAAAUACAAAAAUUAAUCGGGUGUGGUGGCGGGCACCUGUAAACUCAGCUAUUCGGGAGCCUGAGGCAGGAGAAUUGCUUGAACCCGGGAGGUGGAGGUUGCAGUGAGCCAAGAUCAUGCCACUGCACUCCAGCCUGGGCAGCAGAGCAAGAUUCCAUCUUGGGAAAAAAAUUACAAAAAUUAGCCAGGCGUGGUGGUAUGCACCUGUAGUCCCAGCUACUUGAGAGGCUGAGGCACAGCAGUCACUUGAACUUAGGAGGCGGAGGUUGCAGUGAGCCAAGACUGUGCCAUUGCACUCC